GCUUCCUUGGCUCAGAUGGUAGAGCGUGACAUUAGUAAUGUUAAGGUCGCCAGUUCGAUUCUGGCAGGAAGCA
rnacentral:tRNA from 1 species